AUUGAACGCUGGCGGCAUGCCUUACACAUGCAAGUCGAACGGCAGCACGGGAGCAAUCCUGGUGGCGAGUGGCGAACGGGUGAGUAAUAUAUCGGAACGUGCCCAGUCGUGGGGGAUAACGUAGCGAAAGCUACGCUAAUACCGCAUACGAUCUAUGGAUGAAAGCGGGGGAUCGCAAGACCUCGCGCGAUUGGAGCGGCCGAUAUCAGAUUAGGUAGUUGGUGAGGUAAAGGCUCACCAAGCCGACGAUCUGUAGCUGGUCUGAGAGGACGACCAGCCACACUGGGACUGAGACACGGCCCAGACUCCUACGGGAGGCAGCAGUGGGGAAUUUUGGACAAUGGGCGCAAGCCUGAUCCAGCAAUGCCGCGUGCAGGAUGAAGGCCUUCGGGUUGUAAACUGCUUUUGUACGGAACGAAACGGCGAGCUCUAAUACAGUGGUGGGAUGACGGUACCGGAAGAAUAAGCACCGGCUAACUACGUGCCAGCCGCCGCGGUAAUAC
rnacentral:rRNA from 1 species